GUCCUCUGAGAGGAAGACAGGAGGCAAAACAGAAGGUCUCCAGCUGGACUUCAUACUUUAUAAGAGGGCGAUUCUUUACAGCCUCCAGCCCAUUCUUUCUCUUAAAAUGAAUCUCAGACCAUCAGAUGACUUCACAUACUUCACCUUGUUUUUGCUACCACUUGCUCGGUCGCACCCAGGCUCUAUUUUCAUUUUCCAUCACUUUUUAAAAAAAUAUUAUUUCACAGGAUGAUUGCUUUUAUUUAUUAUUCUCAUUUUAUUUCAUCUUAUUUUAUUUGAAAGAGAGAGAGAGAAGGCAUGCGCUUCCAUCUCCUGGUUCACUCCCCAGAUAUCCACAUUACUUGGGGAUGGGUCAGGCCAAAGUCAGAUCUGCCACAUGGCUGUCACCUGCUGCCCAUCAUAGUGUGCAUUAGCAAGAAUGAUGGAAUCUGAAGCAAAGCCAGGACUCAAACCAGGCAUCCCACGUGAAGUAUUAACCUCUGCACCAAAUUUCUGCCCCUCUCUAAGACUAUAUUGUGGAUAGAUCACUUUAAUAUUUCCACUGUCAAGGCCAGCGCUGUGGUGUAGUGGGCUAAGUCUCUGUAGUGCCAGCAUCCCAUAUGGGCACUAGUUCGAGUCCUGGCUGCUCCACUCCUGAUCCAGCCCCCGUUGCAGCCAUUUGGGGAGUUGUCGCUCCCCCUCUUCAUGGAGGAAUGACACUAAACCCUGCCUAGGCUUCAUAUCUGAGUCACGGCACCAUUAUGUCGCUCCCCGUCUUCGUGGAGGAACGACACAGGACCCUGCGCUGUUCUUUCAUCUGCUCGGCCCUCCCCGGGUUUGCUGCUGGUUCUUCCCGGGUUGGCUACUGUCCCUUCCACCUCCGUGGAAGGGCAGUUCCCCCUGGCCACAUUCCCCACUUCCGCAGGGGAGCGGCACACCGCCGGCCGGCUCUCUCGGGGGCAGCACAGGUGUUCCCCUUAGAUGUUCCUGGUGAAUGCCGUCUCUCUCCUCCUUUAUAGUCCUCCUCCGCCAAUCCUAACUCGGCUGCCCACACGCCGAGUACGCUGCUCUCCUCCAAUCAGGAGUAGGUCCUACAGUUUAUUGGUUGAACUGGAGGCAGCUGCGUAGAAGCUGUUUUCUCCUCUCCCAGCGCCAUAUUGUGGGAGAGCAGAUGCAUAGAAUAAGUCUUAAUUCCAGUAACUCAGUCCAGUCCGGGCUGCUCCCCACAGGGAGUGAACCAGCAGGUGGAAGACUUCUUGCUGCCUCUACCUCCCUCUUUCUGUAACUCCAUCCUUCAAAUAAAUAAAUAAAUCUUAAAAAAAAAAAUACUUCUGUCUUAAAUCCUGGCACUUAGAAAAAUAAACAGAAUUACUCCAACACCUGUCCUACAAUAAUCUUGUCAGCCAUAGAGAGACCUGAUUAUGACCCACAACUUCUUCAUAAUCUCUGAGUCCUACUCUCUGACCAUCACUUCCCUUUGUCUGGCUCACCUACCAAGGCCAAUGAUGUUCGGCUAUGAAAGCCUCACACUCAGAAACAAAUAUGUCACCUUUGUCACUGCUCUUCAUAUUUUUUUUUAAAGAUUCAUUCAUUUAUUUGAAAGGCAGAGUUACAGAGAGAGAGAAAAAGAGGUCUUCCAUUUGCAGGUUCACUCCCCAAUUGGCUGCAAUGGUUGGUCCUGUACCUCUUCAGAGCCAGGAGCUUCUUCUGGGUCUCCCACAUAGGUUCAGGGGCCCAAGGACUUGGACCAUCUUCUACUGCUUUCCCAGGCCACAGCAGAGAGCUAGAUGGGAAGUGGAACAGCCGAGUCUCGAACUGGCAUCCAUAUGGGAUGCUGGCACUGCAGGCAGGAGCUUUACUUGCUACGCCACAGCACUGAUCCCUUUCUCUCUUGAUCCCAGUUAAAUUCCAUGGUCCUGUUAUGAUUAUUCCCCUGCCUCACUCCCAACUCCUUUAUGCCCCCUUACUUCGUUGUAUUCCCUUGAGAGAACUGUAAUCUUGGUUUAAUCCAACUCGCCUGGAGAAAAUCAACAUCACAGUCACAAAUGACCAAUCAUGCUUUGAGUGUAUGAACACAAACCUUGUUUACAUCCUUAAUGCUGCCUGGCAAUCAUAGCAUUUUUCUCUGGGCCAUGCCGUUCUCCUCUUAAUCCAUGCCUUUUCCUAUGGAGCCUUUAAUACUUCUUUAUCUGUCAUCUCUUGGCUGUUGACCUUGCUUCUCACUUCACUGAGAAAAUAAAAGCGGCCAGAAAAGAAGCCCCCUAGGCACCCACUGCCACCUCUAGCUGACUUCCAACACCUGUCCCCACCCAUGUGUUCUUCCUUUCCAUUUGUUACAAGGGUGUGGAGACAUCAUUGGCUAAAGCCAGUCUCUCUCCACUUGUGUAUUAGAUCUUGUUCCCUCUUACCCAUUCAUGGACAUUGCUGCGGCAAUUCUACAUGCUGUCUUCAAAAAUUAUCACUUUUGGGACCAGCAGUGUGGAAUAGCAGUUUAAGUUGCCACUUGGAAUGCCAGCAUUUCAUAUCAGAUCAUAUUGGAGUGACAGUUUGAGUCCUGGCUACCCUGCUUCUGAUCCAGCUUCCUACUAAUGUGCCUGGGAAGGCAACAGAAGAUGGCCCAAGUGCUUGGGUCCUUACUAACCAUUUGGAAGACCUGGGUGGACUUCCUAGCUCUUGGCUUUAGGCUGGCCCAUUCCUGGUGGUUGUAGCCAUCUGGAGAAUGAACCAGCAAAUGGACGAUCUCUGUCUCUUCCUCUCUCUGUCACUCUGCUUUCAAAAAAAUAAGGUUUGAAAAAAAAAAUCAUCUUUUGACUAACCAUUGAAUUUUACCCCUCAGCAUGCUGUUAUUCUUUUUUUUCUAACCUUUACCUCUGGUGUCAAUGACUGCCCUUCCCAGCAAAACUUGGAAGGUUGUCCAUACUCGCUGUCUCUAGUGUCUUUCUCCCAGUCUCUCUCCUACUCACUCCCGUGAGUUUCUCCCAUACAACCCCACAAGAUAACUGUUAAGUUGUUAAAUCCACAUAUUUAUCUGUACAUUACAUGAUUGAUUUAUCUGCCUUCCUUGAUAGAGGAGCAUACUUCAAAAAUGGAACACGUGUAUUAUGAAAAAACUACAUUUGGAAAGUUUUUUCACACCAGAACAAACUUAGCUUUUAAUACCAUUUCCCAUGAACUUUUUAAGUACACGUGCCUGUUUCGCACUGGAUUUUCACUUUGGGUUGUCUUUCUACCUCAUUAGGUACUUCUCAGAAUUUACUGGUUCCUCCUCCUUUUUCUGAUUUCUUAACACUGGGGGGCCCCAAAGCUCAAUUCUUAGCUCUUUUCUUAGUGAUCUCAUCUAGCUUAGUGACAGUAAGUGCUGUUUGUUGGUAACUCCUGAAUUUCUUCUUUAGCUCACAUGUCUCUCGUGAAUUCCAUGUUGUUUCCACUAACCUGCCAUCUCCCUAGGAAUUCCAAUAGAUAUUUCAGACGUAGCUUGUCCAAAACUGGGCUUUUGACGUUGCCUCGAGACCUGUUACAUCUGCAGUUCUCCUGACCCUCGUUGUUAACAGCAUUUUCCUUUCUGCUGCCAGGCCAAAACCUUGGCUUUGUCUUUGUUUCCUCACUGUCUUUUACAGCUCCCAGUCAUCUGGUCAGGAGUUGUAUUUUAUGUCAUUUCUUUAUGUCCACUUUGCUUUAUGUUUACUCUGACCACCCUGGGCCAUGGCCACCAUUACAUUGCAGGAUUGUUUCAAUAGCCUCCAGCUGGCCUCCCUGUUUUCCACUCCUGGUCCCCUGCCCUCUGUCUUUUUGCAGUAGUCAGGGUGAACCUUUGGAAAUAUAAGUUAGAGCAUGUUACUACUCUGUUCCAAAGCCAGGUGUUGUGGCACAGCAGGCUAAGUCAAUGCUUCCCACAUCCCUGCUACUCUGCUUCUGAUCCAGCUCCCCUGCUAAAGCACCUGGGAAAGUAGCAGAAGAUGACCCAAGUACUUGUGUCCCUGCCACUCACAUGGCAGACCUGGAUGGAGUCCCAGGCUCCUUGCUUUAUCCUGGCCUAGCACUGGGUGUUGUAGGCAUUUGGGGAGUGAACGAGUGGAUGGAAGAUCUUGCUCUGCAUUUCAAAUCAAUAUAUAAAUCAAACAAGAAGAAACAAGCCUCUAAUCAUUCUUUAUUCUAUUGACAGAAGUGCAAGUAAUUAGAACAGUUCAGGAGGCCAUGUGUGAUCUGUUAAUGACUUUUCUUGGCCCUCCUUUCCUGCUGCUCUUUUUACUCUAACCUGACUUGAGCCACACUGGCCUUCCUGCUGUCCUUGACUCUCUCAGGAACAUUUCUGCCUUUCCAUGGAGCAGUUGUGUCUUGAAUGCCUUCUCUCAGAGAUCUGUAUGGCUCAACCCCAUCACCUUCUUCAUGAUUUUUCCAAACGGAGCUUCUAAGUGAGGGCUUCCCCAUCUGUCUCGUUUACAGUUGCAGCCCAUCCCCAUUCUCACCUGGCACUCCUGAUCGCCUUCACCCUGCUACACCCCAUCGCACCGCUGACACACUAUGUGAAUAUAAUUAGAUGGAUUGGUCCCCCUCCCCCCACCAUGCACGCUCUGCAAGGGCAGGCAUCUUGAACUUGUUCAGUUCAUUGAUGGAUCACAAAGGCUGUGCCCAGCACGUGGUUAGCCAUUUAAUACGUAUUUUCUGAGUGAAUGAUGGAUUCUCUUUCACAUGGCAGUGAUAGGGUCAAAUAAAAGUACCUUUAAGAGGAGAAAACUGAGGGUAGUAUCCCCACCCGCUCCUGACCAAGGUCCUGUUUUUAUUUUAGGGAUGAUAGUGAGAGUGACGGUUACCAUUUAGGGAGCAUGGACAUUGUACUAAGUGCUGUCAUCUCAAUGCUGUGAAGCAAUUAUUCUCUUUGAGCCCAGCUGAUUCUUCGCUGAAGCCACCCUCCUCCACCCUGGCUGCUUCUCACCUGUGCUGCGUACAGCUGUUCAUCCUCUUGGGGAGAUUUCAGGCUUUUCAUGAGUUCCUGCCAAUCCAAGGAGCCGGUGGAAAGGAAGAAAAGAAAACAAGUGUAGAGCUUCAAACUGAAGGCAGCUUAUCCAGUCCUAGUCCCCUUCCUCCUCCACCUCCACUUUCAGGCGGGUGCUGACGGCGGAAGGACAGUGUGAGCCCAAGGUCUGUCUCCCUCACUGGACUGCAGGCUGCCUACAGGUAAAGACUGCGGCUCAUUCCCCUCUCUGUUCUGCUCCCUCUCCGUGCCUGGCGUCUGAUAGGCGGCUCACUGUGGCAGGAAGACAUGGGCCAUUAUGGUCCAGACUCAACGUGAGCUGACACCAUGUGCUUUGGUGUGUCGUGCUGAGAAGGCUGACAUCACUUAUGAGGCACUCUCAACAAAGACAGCUAAUCCCAGGCUGAUGAUGAGCCAUAGCAGGCAAAUGUAAGACCGUUCUACCAAAAUCUGGGCUCCUGAAAAAUGGGAGUGUAAAGUGUUCAAAAGAUGCAAAAAGACAUGACUGCGAAAUUCAGUGUGUGCACCUAAUUGGAUCCUUAAUUUUAAAAAGAUAGCUAUAAAGGAGACACUAUGGGGACAGUGGGGAGAAUUUGUGGAGUACAUGUUAGAAAAUAAUAUUGUGUCGUUGUUAA